CAUGCCAUAGGUAAGAGAAUCAAAUAUGUUCUUGGACAAGAAAGGUUCUCUGUAGCACUGCACUGGUGAAACUUGAUAGCAAUGGAGUUGUGUCAUCACUGGGAUUACUUUUGCCCUGGAUAGUCGUUCACAAAUGAAAAAUAAAGCAAAGAUAUAUUCUCAUUAUUUUUUUUAUCUCUACUUUUGUAUAGAUGUAGUUUACAUACCACUAUACUGCAUUAAUUAAUGUAUGAAAUUUGUUAAUUUAUGUAAGUGUCCACUGGAUUUCAGUUGCUUUGUUAACAGCAAUUGUUAUCUAUAAUUGCAUUUCAAUUGUUCUAUUACAUGUACAUGCUUACGUAGAGUAAUAUUAAUACACUCUUCCAUACUCUUAUUGUAAUUCACGUACUAAUCAACACUGAAUUCUCUGUAUAUAUCUUUAAUCAGAUCACUGUCAUGUACUUCUUGACAAUUGCUAGUUUUAAGCUUAGUAACCAAUGGCUUUUAUGACUCAGAAUGGAGGAUAAUGAAAUAUUUCAUGAUUUUCUUUGUGACAGAAAUUUCAGUCUGUAAGCUUUCUAGAUCUAGGGCACUGUAGGUAACACGGAACAAGAGCUUUAGCAGGUAUUAUUGGAUUAGAAACUUUUUAGAGACAGCAUUUCUUUCUUUAUAGAUAUUUGUUCUUGAUUACAGAAAUUACACGGAGUGGAAAUGAUCUCACUUUACUUGAUAACACAGAUAUCCAGAUCUAAGCUCAUCAUUUCCUAGGGUGACCAUGCCUCUGUCCAUAGUGAAAAAAGGACAUUUUAGAGCUCCUUGAAUCCAACCUAUUUUAGAUGCUUACAUUAGAAUGGAAUGAAUCAAGCCUUAGAGUGCCUUCUCCCCCAUAGAAAAUAAAGGGAGAACAGGGUGAUUAGUCCUGAUCCAGUUCUUUGCACUGCAGCGAUCCACAUCUGGUCAAUUCCUAAUACUGACAAGGUUAUGUAAUUAUGAGGAAAAAGCAAAGAAGCUGCUGAGACUGUGAAUCUUCAAGAUAAAAAACAAACAAACAAACAAAAAAAAAACAAAACAACCAUUGCUUUUCUUUACAAAAACAACAAACUAGACUAUGAUUCUGAGUUCUUCUUAAUUACUGUUAGUUAAAUUAGAUGAAAGAACUUAAAGUUCUUAACCAAACAGCUUUGCAAUAAUAAAUAAUUAUACAAGUAGAUAUUACCAAUCCUUAUGGUCACCAUAUGUCAAAUGAAUCAUGCUAGUCCAGUCAGUAAAGCAUUCUCUAAUUACAAUAACUAUUAAUUAAGUUAAUUUGUUCUAUUAUUCUUUGCUCUACCCAAACAUUAUUUUUAGUACACUUGAAAAAAAAUUUUUUUCAGUUUUUAAGACUCUAAAAUGAGUUUAAAAUUUAAAGUUUAAGAUGGAUUUCUUUCCAGUUACAAGUAAACCAUAAGGGCUUGUAUAAUUUGUUAGAGAGCUAUCUGAAGGUAUACGUUGAACCUGAUUUCAAAUAUCUCUUAUUUUAGCCUGUCAAUCAAUUUGGCAAAAGAUUUCAGCAUGCUGAAUGUGUACAAAUAGUGAGAUGGGUACACAGAUCACUUCAAAUGGCUUUGGCCAAUGGGUGAAUAAUUUCUUUAGCAUUUGACAAUCCUUCUCUAGUGGUGAAGAGGCAGGAAAUCCUUGGAAUAAAUGGUUGGAUUUUGUUUCUUUUGUAACACAUGUUUUUAAAUUCACUCAUGGGCUCACCAACAUAAUUUAGAUAGUCACCAAUAUACUUAUUAAGCAGUUAAUUUGAAUAAAGUUAUUGGAUCAUCAAGUAGGAGGCCUCUAGAAAUAACAAUACAUUGCAAAUAAACUCUAUGUAUGUAAAAAUCCAAUGUAAGAAAAUGCCUUUCCUACUAUUGAUGUUAUUUAUUUGUCUCCUCUGCAGAUUGAAGGCAUUUGCAGUGUUGUUCCCGUCUGCUUAUAUAAGCUAUGAAAACAAAACCUGUGUACCAGCCAAAAUUUUCUCGCUACUUCUCACUGUGGAUAGGAAAACCUGUCAUGCAGGCCUUCAAGCAAAUCCCCCAAAGACUUUAUCAUGAACAACACCAGAGGUUCUUGUUGCAUGUGUGUCUCUAACAACCAGCAAAUGUGGCCGCAGGUGCCUACACUGGAUGAACACCUGCCCAAUCUACGCAAGAAGGAAACGAAAUCAAGGGAUGUCAUGCUCACUGGUUUUGUGUACACAACUCAGGAGAGUGAUAAAAAGGAGAAAUGGAAAGAAAGUUAAAUUUAGCACGAUUAAGAAGAGAGAGUAGAAGAAAAUGGCUGUGACUUUCAGAAACAGCUUUUGCAGGAGACGGAGAGCAGUGAGCUGACAGGUACCUUACAAAGUUCAGCAAGAGGAAGUGCAGACUCCUGCACCUGAGGAGAAACAAGCCCAAGCACCAGGACACGCUGGAGACACCUAGCAGGAAAGUAGCUCUGCGGAAAAGGACAUGGGGCACCAUGUCCACACUUUGGACAUGAGUAAGCAGUGUGGCCUUGCUGCUAAGAAGGCCAGUGGUAUCCUGGGCUGCAUUAGGCAAAGAAUUGCCAACAGGUCAAGAGAAAUGAUCUUUCCCCUCAGCCCCAGUGAGGCUGCACCUGGAGCAGUGUGUCCAGCUCUGGGUCCCCAGUACAAGAGAGACACGGAUGUACUAGAAAGGGUCUGAUGAAGGACAACCAAGAUGGUCUGGGACUAGAGCACCUCUCCAGUGAGGAGAAUCUCAUCAAUGUCCGUAAAUACCCGAACAGAGGAUGCAAAGAAGAUGGAGCCAGGAUUUUCUCAGUGGUGCUCAGUAUCAGGACAUGAGACAAACUGGAACACAGUGGCUCCCUCUGAACACCAGGAAGCAGUUCUGCAUUGUCUAGUGAUGGAGCACUGGCACAGGUGGCCCAAAGGCUGUGGGGUCUCUUCACUGGGGAUCUCCAGAAGCCACCUGGCCAUGGGCACAGGCAGCCUGUAAUUCUGUGCUUUUUACAUCAGUUUGCAGGUACAAGUUUAUCCUUUCUCAUUCUGUGUUGCAAAGCAACAAAUAAAAUAUGU